AGCGUAGACGGUGUGGCAAGUCUGAUGUGAAAGGCCGGGGCUCAACCCCGGGACUGCAUUGGAAACUGUCAAUCUAGAGUACCGGAGGGGUAAGUGGAAUUCCUAGUGUAGCAGUGAAAUGCGUAGAUAUUAGGAGGAACACCAGUGGCGAAGGCGGCUUACUGGACGGUAACUGACGUUGAGGCUCGAAAGCGUGGGGAGGCAAAACA
rnacentral:rRNA from 1 species